rnacentral:rRNA from 1 species
UACAGAGGGUGCUAGCGUUGUUCGGAAUCAUUGGGCGUAAAGGGCGUGUAGGCGGUUUGUUAAGUCAUGUGUGAAAUCCCUCGGCUCAACCGAGGAAAGACGCAUGAAACUGGCAAGCUAGAGUACCGAAGAGGGGGGUGGGAUUCCCGGUGUAGCGGUGAAAUGCGUAGAUAUCGGGAGGAACACCUGUGGCGAAGGCGGCCCCCUGGUCGGAUACUGACGCUGAUACGCGAAAGCGUGGGGAGCAAACAGG